rnacentral:lncRNA from 1 species
ACCGCCCGGUCACUGCUUCCUUGGGCGGGCGGCGGGGAGCGCGGCUCAGCCGGGCAGCCCGGGUCCGGCAGCUCUGUCCCGGACCGCAGCUCAGGAUCUCCGGGGCCCUUGGGGCGCAACGGACCCCGAGCGGGGCGCACCGGCCUUCAGGCGGGGGAUCCCGGACGCCCCCACCCCAGCCCGACAGGCGGACGCAGGCGACAGAAGACCAUGUCCAACCGCCUGGGCCACUCCCCGAAAUCUCGCCUCUGUCAAAAAACAAAACCCACUCCAAACCAAAGUUCCUUAGGGCCUUUCCCGUCUUUGCCUGCCUUCCUUCCUUAGGAGGAAGACCAUCUAGGGGGUGAGGAGGGAAAACGAGAGGCCUUCUGGCACUCUCGCCUCAAAUACAACCCGGUGUUUGGCAGCUACGAAUCAGUGGUUUCUGCCAGCUGUUAGAGGAGAUAUCCCUCCAGGCUGUGCUGCCCAUGGAUUUGUCUGUGAUGGUACCAGAAUAUUAGUAUUUGGGGGAAUGGUUGAAUAUGGAAGAUACAGCAAUGAGUUAUAUGAGUUACAAGCAAGUCGUUGGUUAUGGAAAAAAGUGAAACCCCAUCCCCCUCCUUCUGGUUUACCUCCUUGUCCUCGGCUUGGACAUAGCUUCUCUUUAUAUGGUAACAAAUGCUAUUUGUUUGGUGGCCUGGCAAACGAAAGCGAAGAUUCAAACAAUAAUGUUCCCAGAUAUUUAAAUGAUUUUUAUGAGUUGGAGC